GACGAACCGUGCGAACGUUGUUCGGAAUCACUGGGCUUAAAGGGCGCGUAGGCGGUUGACCAAGUCUGGGGUGAAAUCUUUCGGCUUAACCGGAAAAGUGCCUUGGAAACUGGUCAGCUGGAGGGAGGUAGGGGCAGCUGGAACUUCCGGUGGAGCGGUGAAAUGCGUUGAUAUCGGAAGGAACGCCGGUGGCGAAAGCGAGCUGCUGGACCUUUUCUGACGCUGAUGCGCGAAAGCUAGGGGAGCAAACGGG
rnacentral:rRNA from 1 species